UACGUAGGUGGCAAGCGUUGUCCGGAUUUACUGGGCGUAAAGAGCGCGCAGGCGGUCGUUCAAGUCGCGUGUGAAAGCCCCCGGCUCAACUGGGGAGGGUCACGCGAUACUGAUCGACUCGAAGGCAGGAGAGGGUAGUGGAAUUCCCGGUGUAGUGGUGAAAUGCGUAGAUAUCGGGAGGAACACCUGAGGCGAAGGCGGGCUACUGGGCCGAUACUGACGCUGAGGCACGAAAGCGUGGGGAGCAAACAGGG
rnacentral:rRNA from 1 species